rnacentral:rRNA from 1 species
GAUGAACGCUAGCGACAGGCUUAACACAUGCAAGUCGAGGGGCAGCACGGGAGUAGCAAUACAACUGGUGGCGACCGGCGCACGGGUGAGUAACGCGUAUGCAACCUACCUAUCAGAGGGGAAUAACCCGGCGAAAGUCGGACUAAUACCGCAUAAAACAGGGGCACCGCAUGGUGAUAUUUGUUAAAGAAAUUCGCUGAUAGAUGGGCAUGCGUUCCAUUAGGUAGUUGGUGAGGUAACGGCUCACCAAGCCGACGAUGGAUAGGGGAACUGAGAGGUUGGUCCCCCACACUGGUACUGAGACACGGACCAGACUCCUACGGGAGGCAGCAGUGAGGAAUAUUGGUCAAUGGGCGAGAGCCUGAACCAGCCAAGUCGCGUGAAGGAAGAAGGAUCUAUGGUUCGUAAACUUCUUUUGCAGGGGAAUAAAGUGCAGGACGUGUCCUGUUUUGUAUGUACCCUGAGAAUAAGGAUCGGCUAACUCCGUGCCAGCAGCCGCGGUAAAC